GAGUCAGUAGGUUGGUCGUGCCACCGGUACGUACUGGUCUCACUGAUUCCUCCUUCCUGAAGAACCGUAAUGCCAUUAAUUUGGUGUUGCGGGGAAACAGGACUGUUACUUUGAAAAAAUUAGAGUGUUUAAAGCAAGCUAUCGCUUGAAUACAUUAGCAUGGAAUAAUGAAAUAGGACGAUCGAUCCUAUUUUGUUGGUUUCUAGGAUUGACGUA
rnacentral:rRNA from 1 species